GACGGAGGGUGCUAGCGUUGUUCGGAAUGACUGGGCGUAAAGAGUGUGUAGGCGGUGUUCCCAGUCUGUUGUGAAAUCUCCCGGCUUAACCGGGAGGGUGCAGCGGAAACUAGAAUGCUAGAGGGUGGGAGAGGUAAGCGGAAUUCCUGGUGUAGCGGUGAAAUGCGUAGAUAUCAGGAGGAACACCUGUGGUGUAGACAGCUUACUGGACCACUUCUGACGCUGAGACACGAAAGCGUGGGUAGCAAACAGG
rnacentral:rRNA from 1 species